rnacentral:rRNA from 1 species
AGUCACUGACGAGUUUGAUCCGUGGCUCGAGGAUGAACGCUAGCGGGAGGCCUAAUACAUGCAAGUCGAACGGUAAGGUCCCUUCGGGGAUACACGAGUGGCGGACGGGUGCGUAACGCGUACGAAACAUACCUUCAACAGGGAGAUACCUCCGGGAAACUGGAAAUAAUACCCCAUAGUAUUGUGACAUCGCAUGAUGUUACAAUUAAAGCUUUGGCGGUUGAAGAUUGUCGUGCGUCUGAUUAGCUAGUUGGUGAGGUAACGGCUCACCAAGGCGACGAUCAGUAGCUGGUCUGAGAGGAUGAUCAGCCACACUGGAACUGAGACACGGUCCAGACUCCUACGGGAGGCAGCAGUAGGGAAUAUUGGACAAUGGGCGGAAGCCUGAUCCAGCCAUCCCGCGUGUAGGAAUAAGGCCCUAUGGGUUGUAAACUACUUUUAUUAGGGAAGAAAAACUUUGAUUUAUCAGAGCUUGACGGUACCUAAGGAAUAAGCACCGGCUAACUCCGUG